rnacentral:rRNA from 1 species
GUAGGGUGCAAGCGUUGUCCGGAAUUACUGGGUGUAAAGGGUCCGCAGGCGGGUAAGCAAGUCGGUGGUGAAAUCCUGCAGCUCAACUGCAGAACUGCCUCUGAUACUGUUUAUCUUGAGUACGAGAGAGGAUGAUGGAAUUCAUGGUGUAGCGGUGAAAUGCGUAGAGAUCAUGAAGAACACCGGUUGCGAAGGCGAUCAUCUGGCUCGUUACUGACGCUCAGGGACGAAAGCGUGGGGAGCAAACAGGAUUAGAUACCCUGGUAGUCCACGCCUUAAACGAUGGAUGUUCGGUGUCGGUCCCGUUCAGCAUAUAUUAAUAUGUGUUGAACGGGAUCGGUGCCUGAGCUAACGCGUUAAACAUCCCACCUGGGGAGUACGAUCGCAAGGUUG